GGGUAGCGUUUAGUACUGAAUUAAGAAAAUGUGGUUGGAUGAAAGUCUGACUCUUAAUCAGUAGGUCCUCGGUUCGACCCCGAGACGGCCCACCA
rnacentral:tRNA from 1 species